AUGGCUCAGGAUGAACGCUGGCGGCGUGCUUAACACAUGCAAGUCGAACGGAGCCUAUCGAGUGCUUGCACUUGAGAAAGCUUAGUGGCGGACGGGUGAGUAACGCGUGGGUAACCUGCCCUGUACCGGGGGAUAACAGUUGGAAACGGCUGCUAAUACCGCAUAAGCCCACAGCACCGCAUGGUGCAGGGGGAAAAACUCCGGUGGUACAGGAUGGACCCGCGUCUGAUUAGCUAGUUGGUGAGGUAACGGCCCACCAAGGCGACGAUCAGUAGCCGGCCUGAGAGGGUGAACGGCCACAUUGGGACUGAGACACGGCCCAAACUCCUACGGGAGGCAGCAGUGGGGAAUAUUGCACAAUGGGGGAAACCCUGAUGCAAGCGACGCCGCGUGAGUGAUGAAGUAUUUCGGUAUGUAAAACUCUAUCAGCAGGGAAGAAAAUGACGGUACCUGACUAAGAAGCACCGGCUAAAUACGUGCCAGCAGCGGC
rnacentral:rRNA from 1 species